rnacentral:rRNA from 1 species
GAGUUUGAUCAUGGCUCAGAACGAACGCUGGCGGCAGGCCUAACACAUGCAAGUCGAACGCCCCGCAAGGGGAGUGGCAGACGGGUGAGUAACGCGUGGGAACGUACCUUUCGGUUCGGAAUAGACCCGGGAAACUGGGAUUAAUACCGGAUACGUCCUUAGGGAGAAAGAUUUAUCGCCGAAAGAUCGGCCCGCGUCUGAUUAGCUAGUUGGCGGUGUAAUGGACCACCAAGGCGACGAUCAGUAGCUGGUCUGAGAGGAUGAUCAGCCACACUGGGACUGAGACACGGCCCAGACUCCUACGGGAGGCAGCAGUGGGGAAUAUUGGACAAUGGGCGCAAGCCUGAUCCAGCCAUGCCGCGUGAGUGAUGAAGGCCUUAGGGUUGUAAAGCUCUUUCGACGGGGACGAUAAUGACGGUACCCGUAGAAGAAGCCCCGGCUAACUUCGUGCCAGCCGCCGCAGU